UGAGAAGCAUUGUUUUAACCAAAUCAAGUGUGGAUCAGGGUAGAAGCGUAGGUAUGAUUUAAGAUAGUAACUAAGGAAUAGGAUAAUCAGUAUCUAGGGGUGGAGGUUAGUUAACAUGUGUAUAAUUUAAAAUAUAAAAAUCACAAAUCGACUCUGUAUUCCUCGGGCACAAGAUUUGGGCACUGUAUGCCCCUGUGUCCCGCGCGCUUGAAUAAAGAACCGCAUAUGAUCACCUUCGUGUGGUUAUAUGUUUUCCUACGCUAACAUUUUUGGCGACCCAGGACGGGACCUUGUGGGCGCAGCCAGGACCCCGCGACCCGAUCAUGCUCCAGCCGGCACCAGGUGAUUUCUUGGGGAGCCCAUCGGAUCCAUGACCCUCGCCACUCACAACGACCCCUUGUGAGAGGAUGAAGAACUCAGACGUCAAUUCAUGUGAUGCCUGCACGCAAAGCGGAAAUCUAGUAUACUAACAGAAAAACUACCUCUUGCUCUCAAAAGGCUCUUCCCUCUCUGCUGACACAGACCAGUUUCACAAUGAAGAAAAAGAUC